rnacentral:rRNA from 1 species
UGGGGAAUAUUGGACAAUGGGCGAAAGCCUGAUCCAGCCAUGCCGCGUGUGUGAAGAAGGUCUUCGGAUUGUAAAGCACUUUAAGUUGGGAGGAAGGGCAUUAACCUAAUACGUUAGUGUUUUGACGUUACCGACAGAAUAAGCACCGGCUAACUCUGUGCCAGCAGCCGCGGUAAUACAGAGGGUGCAAGCGUUAAUCGGAAUUACUGGGCGUAAAGCGCGCGUAGGUGGUUUGUUAAGUUGGAUGUGACAUCCCCGGGCUCAACCUGGGAACUGCAUUCAAAACUGACUGACUAGAGUAUGGUAGAGGGUGGUGGAAUUUCCUGUGUAGCGGUGAAAUGCGUAGAUAUAGGAAGGAACACCAGUGGCGAAGGCGACCACCUGGACUAAUACUGACACUGAGGUGCGAAAGCGUGGGGAGCAAACA